rnacentral:rRNA from 1 species
UACGAAGGGGGCUAGCGUUGUUCGGAUUUACUGGGCGUAAAGCGCGCGUAGGCGGGUCACUAAGUCAGGGGUGAAAUCCCGAGGCUUAACCUCGGAACUGCCUUUGAUACUGGAGAGCUUGAGUCCGGAAGAGGUGAGUGGAACUCCGAGUGUAGAGGUGAAAUUCGUAGAUAUUCGGAAGAACACCAGUGGCGAAGGCGGCUCACUGGUCCGGUACUGACGCUGAGGUGCGAAAGCGUGGGGAGCAAACAGG